rnacentral:lncRNA from 1 species
UUUUCAAAUUAAACUAUUUUAAAUUCAUGAAAACCAGAUUUUAAUACUCACGCGCACACACUCUGUUUUCCUUUCACACACGUACACAGCAGGAUUAAUUCACCAAAACAUAUUAUUUAAAGCAUCUACAAAAUUGCAUAUCAUGAGACAGAAGCUAAUUUACACGAAGGAAUUGUUGGAAAUUUCAGAAAUUCCUAUUUGCAACUCACAAUAGCUAUACAUGGAGAGUUCAGUGACAUUUUUGGGUUAGUUUUGGAUUUGUAACUUAUUUUGUAACGGCCCCGGAAAUUAAAAGAAAAUGUAUAUAUUAAAAAGUUCUAAGUGCGGAAGCGAAAUAAAAAUUCUGAUUAACAUCCCUUACACAAUAACUAAAAACGUAUUUAACAUAUGAAAGAAUAACUAACUGAAGUAAACACUAGUAAUGAAUGCAAUAAAUAAAUCUAUGAAAUUCUUAGUCAUUUACUCGCCGUCUUCCUGCGGGACGGGCUCGGGAACCAAGUCCUCCUGAUCUGAAAUGGUUAAGUAAGGAAUGAGCUACACUAGCCCAGUAAAGACAUCACACUAUCUCACUGCCACAGGAGUAAAAGCUGGUAGAAAACAAAAACGACCAAUGGAGCAUAAUUUAUAGCAAACUCAUUUAUCAAUAAUAAAAAUCUUUACUGUCCACUUACCUCGGUGAGAUUCAUGAAAACAAUUUAUGAAAUACAAUAACAUCAUAAAUGUCAUAAAAUCAUGCACACUUUGUAACAUAACACAUAUUAAACUCUCAUUUUUCAAUCAUCAGACAACAAUUUUCCUCUUUUAUCAGCCUACUAGUAUCCAUGGGGAUCCAUAGGGGGUUCCCGCUACACGUGAACUAUUCACAUUAAUAACUUGAUUCCAGGGCCGUCCCCAUACCCCGUCCGGUAUGGGUGCCAAAAUACAUAAGGUCUCCAUACCCCGUCCGAUAUGAGAGACCACGUUUCCGAUAGGGUUCCCUAAAAUAAUUUUCAAUCAAUUCCCAAAAAUAAUUUUAUCCAAUUUUAUCAUUAUUAUUAUUAUUUAUUUCUAUUAAAUUAAUAAAUUAAACAUAUAAUUAUUACAAAAUAAAUUAACUAUUAAAAAAUAAAAUAAAAUCCAAAAAAAAAUUCCAAUACAAAAAUAAAAAUACUUUUGGGGUGUUACAACUCUACCCCCCUUAAGGAAAUUUGGUCCCCCAAAUUUGCCUCUUGCUCUUGAUCGAACAAAUGGGGAUACUGGGCUCUAAAGUCUGAUUCUAGCUCCUAGGUAGCCUCCCUUGGCAUGUGGUUUUGCCACACGACCUUUACAAAUGAUAUUUUUUGGUUGCGGAGUAUCCUGCUCUUUCGGUCCGUGAUACCGGCUGGUACUUCUUUAUAAGAUAAGUCCUUUUGGAGUGGAAGCGGUUCAUGAGCCAAGACAUGAGAUGGGUCCGGGUUGUACUUACGUAGCAUGGAUACGCGGAACACAUUGUGGACCUUGGAGAGCUUUGGAGGCAGUGCUAGUCUGUAGGCAACAGUAUCAAUCCUGUCUAAGAUUUCAAAAGGUCCAAUAAAUCAGGGGUUCAAUUUUUCCCUCCUGCCGAACCUACUAAUUCCCUUGAAAGGAGCCUUUCUCAAACGCUAGAUCUCUCCUCCGGGUGUCCGCAUAACUCUUCUGCCUACUCUGAGCCGUUUGAAUGUUCUUUCUGAUUUUAACUAUUUUAGACGUGGUCUCCUCUACCAACUCCAGGCCGAACAAUCUUCUAUCGCCCACUUCUUUUCCAACAAAUCGGUGAUCUGCAUGGGCGCCCAUAUAACGCCUCAUAUGGAGCCAUGCCGAUGCUCGCUUGGUAGCUGUUGUUGUAGGCAAACUCUAUCAGGGGUAGAUGGUCGUCCCAAUGGCCCCUAGCGUUAAGGAAACAAGCUCGGAGCAUAUCUUCAAGUGUACGAAUUGUCCUUUCUGAUUGUCCAUCAGCUUGAGGAUGGAAGGCAGUACUAAGAGACAGCUUUGUUCCCAUGACUUGCUGAAAGCUACUCCAAAAUCGAGAAGUGAACCUGGGGUCCUUGUCGAAUACCACUGUCACUGGAACUCCAUGCAAUCUGACUAUUUCCUGGAUAUACAUUCUUGUCAACUUGUCCAAAGGGUCGGUCAUCUGAUGGUCAGAAGUGGGAAGAUUUGGUAAGCCGGUCAACGAUUACCCAGAUGGCGUCAUGUCUAAACGUGCUUGGGUAAUCCCGUUACGAAGUCCAUAGUGAUGUGUUCCCACUUCCACUCCGGGAUCGGUAAAGGCUGAAGUAGCCCACCUGGGCGCUGAUGCUCUACCUUGACCUGCUGACAAACCAAGUAUUUGGAUACAAAGUCGGCUAUGUCUCUCUUCAUCCCAUUCCACCAAAACCGGGGUCGCAUGCUUUGGUACAUUUUGGUGCUUCCGGGAUGCAUGGCAAACUUUGAGUUGUGGGACUCUAUCAUGAUGUCUCUCUUUAACUCACUGUCAUCUGAGACACACACCCUGUCUUGGAAACAGAGUAACCCAUCGGCAGAAAUUCAGAAUUCUGAGCUCACUCCCUGUUCUCAUCAUUCUUGUGGGCUACCAAGGCGGGGUCGACUGACUGGGCUUCCCUUAUUCUCUGGAUUAACUCGGGCUGGACUGUCAGGCGGCCCAAACAUGUGAUUCUCCUCAGGUUCUGAAGUCGAACCUGUUGUGUGGCCCCAAUUUACCUGAAUUCUGAAACCAUCAAAUGGGCUAAGAUACCUGCACUUUUCCUGCUGAGAGCGUCUGCUACCACGUUGCCCUUACCCCGAUGGUAUAAGAUAUUACAAUCAUAGUCUUUAAAGAGUUCCAUCCACCUUCUCUGACGCAUGUUGAGAUCAUUCUGAGUGAAUAUGUGUUUCAAACUCUUAUGAUCAAUAUAGAUCUGAAAGGUCUCUCCGUAUAAGUAGUGGCGCCAGGUUUUCAAGACGUGUAUGAUUGCAGCAAACUCUAAGUCAUGGGUGGGAUAAUUCUUCUCAUGAUUCUUUAACUGUCUGGACCCAUAUGCUAUGACAUUCCCAUGCUGCAUCAGGACACAACCCAGGCCUAGAUAGGAGGCAUCACUAUAAACUGUAUAUCCCCCCGAUCCACUCGGUAAAGCCAGUACGGGUGCAGUAGUCAGUCACUUCUUUAAUAAACUUCUUUCGCAAUCCUCAUUCCACUCAAACUUGGCAUUCUUCUUUGUGAGUCGGGUUAGAGGAGCUGCUAGGCUGGAGAAUCCUUCAACGAACCUGCGGUAAUAACCUGUCAUCCCCAAGAAGCUCUGGAUUUCCUUAACUGAUGUUAACUUCUCUCAGCCAAGUAUCGCUUCAACCUUUUUGGGAUUCACUGAUACUCCUUCCUUCGAUAUUAUGUGUCCUAGGAAGGCGGUUUGCUCAAGCCAGAAUCCACACUUACUCAACUUUGCAUAUAACUUCUUUUUUAUGAGGACUUGCAAAACUUGGCCAAGAUGGUGAGCAUGUUCUUCUCUGCUUUUUGAGUAGACCAAGAUGUCAUCGAUGAACACAAUAAAAAAUUGAUCCAAGAACUCUCUGAAGACCCAGUUCAUCAGAUCCAUAAAGAUUGUUGGGGCGUUGGUUAGCCCAAAUGGCAUGACCAGGAACUCAUAGUGUUUGUACCUGGUUCGAAAGGCCGUCUUAGGGAUGUCUUCUGUUCUUAUCUUCACCUGAUGGUAACCUGAUCGCAGGUCUAUUUUAGAGAAGACCUGUGCACCCUGUAACUGAUCGAAGAGGUCAUCAAUCCUGGGAAGGGGAUAUUUGUUCUUAAUUGAACCUUGUUCAAUCCUCUGUAAUCAAUACACAGUCUCAAUGUUCCAUCUCCCUUCUUGGAAAAAGUGACUCCGGCACCCAAAGGGACACACUGUGUCUAAUAAAACCACUGUUUUGCAAUUCAGUGAUCUCUUUCCUCAGCUCUUCCAUCUCAAUGCGGCUCAUGCGGUAAGGAGCAACCGAAAUGGGCUGGGUGCCUGGCUGUAGGUCUAUAGUGAACUCGACUUCCCUGUCCACUAGUCCGGGUAGUUCGUCCGGAAACACAUCUGGAAAGUCUCAGACUACCAAAAUCUCUUGGAUACAAAUUUUCUUAUUGGGCUUGCCUAGUUAGAGAAAAUAGCAAGAUUAAGGUACUUAAAAUUUAAGGAAACUUGCCAUCAAGGAAUAAGUACUAGAUGAUUUUAUUAAUUUGUAAAUGGCUCAUCAUUAGGAGGAUUAAAUACAACCUUCUUGUUAAAGCAAUCUAUGGUGGCGUGAUAAGCCGCUAGCCAAUCCAUCCCUAAGAUUACAUCAAAAUCUCUCAUGUCUAACCCUAUCAGGUCUACACUCAGUUUUUUAUUUGCUAUCUCCACGGCACAAUCCCUGUGGACAACUUUCCCUAAUAGUGUUUCACCCCCAGCAGUAGACACAAAUAAUAUUGAAUCAAGUUCAUCAAGUAAUACAUUAAAUUUGGAUGCAAAAACAUGUGAAACAAAUGAAUGUGAUGCACCAGUGUUAAACAAAACAUGAGCAAUAUGGUUACAGAUAGUGUACAUACCCUGUACCACGUCCGGGUUGGCAUUGGCAUCCUGCUGAGUGAGGUUGUAAAUCCUGUCCUGAAUAGGAGGUCUUCCUUAAUUCUGGUUCCUCGGGCACUCUCUCGCAUAGUGCUGGGCACUGCCACAUAUGCAACAGGUAUUGUUGAGGCGGUAGCAUGGUCGGUCCCCGUGAUCCCUGCCACAGUGCUACAGAUCUUUCCACGUCCUGCCCCUAGAGCGUAAGGAGGGGCCUGGAUCACUGGUCUGGGCCUCUUAUUUGGUUGGA